AGAGUUUGAUUCUGGCUCAGAACGAACGCUGGCAGCGUGGAUUAGGCAUGCAAGUCGAACGGGAUCGGCGGGAUGAAUAGCAAUAGGAUUCCGGCCGUGAGAGUGGCGGAAGGGCGAGGACAAUAUGGGCAAUCUGCCCUGUCGCUGGGGAUAACGCCCUGAAAGGGGCGCUAAGACCGAAUGUGGCGGGCGCGGGCAUCCGCGCCUUGCCAAAGGGGGGGACCGCGAGGCCUCCUGCGACGGGAUGGGCCCGUAGACCAUCAGCUUGUUGGCGGGGUAACGGCCCACCAAGGCGACGACGGUUAGCUGGUCUGAGAGGACGGCCAGCCGCACUGGGACUGAGAUACUGCCCAGACUCCUACGGGAGGCUGCAGUCGAGGAUCAUUCGCAAUGGGGGCAACCCUGACGAUGCGACGCUGCGUGAAGGAUGAAGGCCCUCGGGUCGUAAACUUCUGUCAUGGGGGAAAAGGCAAUCGCCGCGAACAGCGGCGUGCGUUGAUGGUACCCCAAGAGGAAGCCACGGCUAACUCUGUGCCAGCAGCCGCGGUAAUACAGAGGUGGCGAGCGUUGUUCGGAUUUACUGGGCGUAAAGGGCGCGUAGGCGGCCGGAUGUGUCGGAUGUGAAAGCCCCGGGCUCAACCCGGGAAGUGCGUUCGAAACUGUCCGGCUGGAGCACGGAAGGGGGAUGCGGAAUGCAGGGUGUAGCGGUGAAAUGCGUUGAUAUCCUGCAGAACACCGGUGGCGAAGGCGGCAUCCUGGGACGUGACUGACGCUGAGGCGCGAAAGCAGGGGGAGCAAACAGGAUUAGAUACCCUGGUAGUCCCUGCCCUAAACGGUGUGCACUUGACGUGGGGGUCUCACCGCCCCCGUGUCGCAGCCAACGCCUUAAGUGCACCGCCUGGGGAGUACGGCCGCAAGGCUAAAACUCAAAGAAAUUGACGGGGGCCCG
rnacentral:rRNA from 1 species